UUCUCUGCUGCCACCUGGCGAAGACUCACAACCAAACAAGACACUGGAGUUUCAACUGCCUUAAUUUCUACCACCCUCAUGCCAACACAUGCGGAAUCUCUCAAGGACCAGAUGGAGGAUGCAUGAAUACUCCGUGGGCACCCAGCACUCCCAGAAGAAGCCUGGUGGCAAGGAUUUACCGGGUGAUCCUCACCUCUCUCCUCUCUGCUGUCUCUCCUUAGCCCAAGUAGUUCUGAGCAAAGAAAUCUGAACCUCGCUCUUGGCAAUGCAUCUCCACGGGGACUGUGGAGGGAAUCAGAAUAAAAGGGUCUGGACCUCUGAAAGAGCUAUGGCAAAUUCGCUGAGAUAAGAGCAGCUGGAAGUAACAUUCUGUCCCUGUAAUUCUAUGUGCAGCUGGUCUUGAGAAAUGAAUCCAAGGCAGUGACUGGAGCAAUUGCUUCAUUUCCUUCGAAGUACCUCAUCCAAUGCCAGGGGUGAUAAAUGCUGUAUUCUGGGGUUGUACUAAUAGCCCCAGUUGUGAAUACUGAAAGCCAGCCAUGUGGAAAUACAUCUAGAGGAUCCACCAAGUGACCUCAAAUACAGAGGAAGUUACUCAAAAGCAGAAAGAGUGGACACACCUGACCCUGGACCAUAGGCAGCACCAAUGGACAGGAUACUGUUCCACGUGUCAUGCCAGAGUCUUUGAGAGGAGGACUCCAAUGAAAAUAGGGCCUCCACCAGAUGAAUGGCAUCAAACCAGCAAUUAAUUCAAGGUUAGUUCCAAGGACACUAACCCUGUGGAACACCUGCCUUCCUUGGGACUGCCACCUAGAAAGCAAGAAGUGUUGUCUCCAAAACCAGAGCUGCCAUUCAUGAUGCUGAAGUGUUUGGAUUUGUCCCUGUUCUUACCAUGUCAUGAAUACGUGUUUUUUUUUCAAGAAGAACGGCAAAACAUGAUAAGUCUCUGUUGCAUUCUUCCAUCACGUGACAGAAAAUCUCAGAUGGAGAGAAGGGGUGAAGCUAGAAGGGAGGCAUCAGUGGAGGAUGGAAGCCUUCCUCACUUUCGUAUCUCCAUUAUCCAUGUUCACUCAUUUAACGAAGCCUCCAGAGACUUCCAGAAGGUUUCCAGAAAAAAUAGAAGGACUGAAGAGUGCAAGAGGGAAUUGGGUACCUCUAUAGAUAGCACCAACCCAGGGACGAACCUGUGGAGUCUUCACCCUCAGACAGUGCCCACAGUCUCCACCCACCAAGACCUGAUUUGGGCCUGA
rnacentral:lncRNA from 1 species